AACACGGCCACAACUGCUGCUGCUACCAUUAUAAAAUACGGUAUUUUGCAGAUCGUGAAAAUGUGUGAAAAUACUGUGGUCCUGAUUGCUCCACUGGGCGAGGAGGACAGGUAUAGCAGAGGAAUUUUAAGAAACUGGAGGAGUUUCAUGAGAGCUAAUGUGGACACAGGAAACAAGACGGUUUGGAAAUUGCAGACUUUCAAACACCAACUUCAGAUGGAUGGCAGCAGUUGUGGUGUUCUAAUAUUAAAUUUUGCAGAACAGUACCUUACAAGUGGAUCAAUUGAUCAGGUGGAAACCAGCCCAGCAUCUAUAAGAGCAGAAAGACUGGAGAUUGCUGGCCUCCUUAUGGAAAAUCAGGGUAACACAUUACUGUGUACAGGUUUAAAACAACUGGAAGACUACCAUGUAAUUUGAACACUUUUGAAUAUAUAGCAGAUUGAAUGAGGAACAUGAAAGGAAAGGACACAACAGUCCAGGACUGAACAACACAACUGAGAGAAUCUAUUGAGCCGUUCUGCCUCGUGCUUUUUGUAAAAUGUUUAUUAUAUUUGCAGUAAUGAAGGGCUGAUAUACAAUACUGUGUUGAAAGCCACAAUCUAUGGCAUUGCGUAGAACUCAUCUCUCUGUGAUACCUAAUAUAAAUACAAUCCCUAAUUGCCAUUGACUGCAUCAAUAAACACUUCUUGUUCACAAUAUUAUUCCUAAAUGUAAUUUCCAUAGAUGCUACAUGUACAUGUUGAACUAUACUGCUUUAAAAUGUGACAACUUUAUAUUUGAAAAUAUUGAUCAAAAUAAUUAGGGUUUUAGUUUGUCUAAUUUGUUUGCUUUAUCAUUAAUACGUUUUACUGUUUAGAUUUUUU